rnacentral:tRNA from 1 species
UCCCCGGUGGCGCAGUGGUAGCGCGGCUCGCUGUUAACGAGAAGGUCGUAGGUUCGAAUCCUACCCGGGGAG